AACGAACGCUGGCGGCAUGCCUAACACAUGCAAGUCGAACGAGACCUUCGGGUCUAGUGGCGCACGGGUGCGUAACGCGUGGGAACCUGCCCUUAGGUUCGGAAUAACUCCCCGAAAGGGGUGCUAAUACCGGAUAAUGUCUUCGGACCAAAGAUUUAUCGCCUUUGGAUGGGCCCGCGUUGGAUUAGCUAGUUGGUAGGGUAAAAGCCUACCAAGGCGACGAUCCAUAGCUGGUCUGAGAGGAUGAUCAGCCACACUGGGACUGAGACACGGCCCAGACCCAGAGGGGAGGGAGGGGGGGGAAAAAUGGGAAAGGGGGCAAGAGCCAGAAACAAAAAGGCCGGGUGAGGGAAGAGGGCGUUGGGGUUGAAAAUCUCUUUUCCAGGGGAGGAAAAGGAGAGAACGGGGAAAAAAACCCCGGCAAAACCCGGU
rnacentral:rRNA from 1 species